rnacentral:rRNA from 1 species
UCCAGACUCCUACGGGAGGCAGCAGUGGGGGAUAUUGCACAAUGGGGGGAAACCCUGAUGCAGCGACGCCGCGUGGGUGAAGAAGCGCCUCGGCGCGUAAAGCCCUGUCAGCAGGGAAGAAAAUGACGGUACCUGAAGAAGAAGCCCCGGCUAACUACGUGCCAGCAGCCGCGGUAAUACGUAGGGGGUAAGCGUUAUCCGGAUUUACUGGGUGUAAAGGGGGCGCAGACGGCGAUGCAAGCCAGGAGUGAAAGCCCGGGGCCCAACCCCGGGACUGCUCUUGGAACUGCGUGGCUGGAGUGCAGGAGGGGCAGGCGGAAUUCCUGGUGUAGCGGUGAAAUGCGUAGAUAUCAGGAGGAACACCGGUGGCGAAGGCGGCCUGCUGGACUGCAACUGACGUUGAGGCCCGAAAGCGUGGGGAGCAAACAGGAUUAGAUACCCUGGUAGCC